rnacentral:rRNA from 1 species
GAUGAACGCUGGCGGCGUGCCUAAUACAUGCAAGUCGAGCGAACGGACGAGAAGCUUGCUCUUCUGAUGUUAGCGGCGGACGGGUGGGUAACACGUGGAUAACCUACCUAUAAGACUGGGAGAACUUCGGGAAACCGGAGCUAAUAUCGGAUAAUAUUUUGAACCGCAUGGAUCAAAAGUGAAAGACGGUCUUGCUGUCACUUAUAGAUGGAUCCGCGCUGCAUUAGCGAGUUGGUAAGGUAACGGCUUACCAAGGCAACGAUGCAUAGCCGACCGGAGAGGGUGAUCGGCCACCCUGGAACUUAGACACGGUCCAGACUCCUACGGGAGGCAGCAGUAGGGAAUCUUCCGCAAUGGGCGAAAGCCUGACGGAGCACCGCCGCGUGAGUGAUGGAGGUCUUCGGAUCGUAAAACUCUGUUAUUAGGGAAGAACAUAUGUGUAAGUAACUGUGCACAUCUUGACGGUACCUAAUCAGAAAGCCACGGCUAACUACGUG